UAGAUACAUUUGUAAUAUACUAUUAACAUAAGGUACACUUUAACUUCACUAUAGUCAAGCAUUGGAUAAACCAAUUAACUGUGUUUUACCACAAAAUAACCGUGGUUUUGCUAAUAAUAAUCAAUACACCAAAAAAACAUGGUUACUAAACUUUUACCACAAAAAAAAAAACAUUCAUUUUCGUAAGGGGAAUAUGAGUGUUUGUUUUUUUGUAGUUUUUCAGUCAAUUGCAUACCGCUUUUAGCUGUACAAAACUUAAACAGUUUUCGUAAAUGCAUUUCAGAGAAAAGUGAAUUCUGAGAUUUGAAUAAUGCAUCUGACGUGUGUGUGAUGACGUCACGACGCACGUAUUUUGAUUUUUACCAGUCGUUCAAGGCGGACGGAUUCAGUCCCAAGAAGCUAAAGUUUUUCAAAGACAUUUGUAGGGAGGACUUUGCAGCUAAUGGAGCUGAAGUAUUUUAUGUAAGGAGGAUUUUGCAGCCCAUAUAGAUUUCCUUAGGCUGAACCAAAACCUGCCAGACUAAAGUUGAUUUGGGAGAGAAAGACGUUGUAAACUCAAUCAUCUUGACAUUCUUCAAUGAGUAAUUGUUCAAUUUUUAGGCAAAUACUGUACACUUUGAAUGCUGUGAAUAAAACUAUAUUUUAAAUAUAUUUAAAAUGAA